CCUACGGGAGGCUGCAGUGAGGAAUAUUGCGCAAUGGGCGAAAGCCUGACGCAGCGACGCCGCGUGAGGGAUGAAGGUCUUCGGAUCGUAAACCUCUGUCAGCAGGGAAGAACGGUCACUGUGCUAAUCAGCAGUGAAUUGACGGUACCUGCAAAGGAAGCACCGGCUAACUCCGUGCCAGCAGCCGCGGUAAUACGGAGGGUGCGAGCGUUAAUCGGAAUUAAUGGGCGUAAAGCGCUCGUAGGCGGUAUGUCAAGUCAAGGGUGAAAUCCCCGCGCUCAACGUGGGAACUGCCUUUGAAACUGGCAAACUGGAGUGUGUGAGAGGAUAGUGGAAUGCCAGGUGUAGGAGUGAAAUCCGUAGAUAUCUGGAAGAACAUCAGUGGCGAAGGCGACUAUCUGGCACAUAACUGACGCUGAGGAGCGAAAGCGUGGGUAGCAAACAGGAUUAGAUACCCGGGUAGUC
rnacentral:rRNA from 1 species